UACGUAGGGCGCGAGCGUUGUCCGGAAUUAUUGGGCGUAAAGAGCUCGUAGGCGGCCUGUUGCGUCCGCUGUGAAAGCCCGGGGCUUAACCCCGGGUCUGCAGUGGAUACGGGCAGGCUAGAGGUAGGUAGGGGAGAAUGGAAUUCCCGGUGUAGCGGGUGAAAUGACGCAGAUAUCGGGAGGAACACCGGUGGCGAAGGCGGUUCUCUGGGCCUGUACUGACGCUGAGGAGCGAAAGCGUGGGGAGCGAACAGG
rnacentral:rRNA from 1 species